GGUGAUGCCAAGGCAUAGGCCUGCUGGCCAUGUGUGAUAUGUAUUUUCCUUUUCUCCCUCAUCUCUCUUCUUUCCCUCCUACCUAUUUCUUCCAUUGCUUGAUUCAGUAGAGUCCUUCAAGAGAAUAUACUGUGCAAAGAUAAUCCCCACAGCUUGAGAUGUAGCAUGGAAUAUGGAGAGUCUUUACAACUAAGGCUGCUCAGGAGAGAUUAGCCAUCUUCACACACUACAAGCUUGAGAAGGCAAAGGAGUAAGAUCUUGAUGUACUUAGGGUUAUGUGGAACCCUUUGUCAUGGGUUACGGAAACAGCUGCGAUUAUGGCCAUCACCCUCACUAAUGGAGGACCACAAUGGAAAGAAAAGAAGGGGAAAUGCAACAAA